GUGGGGAAUAUUGGACAAUGGGCGCAAGCCUGAUCCAGCAAUGCCGCGUGGGUGAAGAAGGUCUUCGGAUCGUAAAGCCCUUUCGACAGGGACGAUGAUGACGGUACCCGGAGAAGAAGCCCCGGCUAACUUCGUGCCAGCAGCCGCGGUAAUACGAAGGGGGCUAGCGUUACUCGGAAUUACUGGGCGUAAAGGGCGCGUAGGCGGCUCUGUUAGUCAGGCGUGAAAUUCCUGGGCUUAACCUGGGGACUGCGCUUGAUACUGCAGGGCUUGAGGCCGAGAGAGGGUGGUGGGAUUCCCAGUGUAGAGGUGAAAUUCGUAGAUAUUGGGAAGAACACCGGUGGCGAAGGCGACCACCUGGCUCGGUUCUGACGCUGAGGCGCGACAGCGUGGGGAGCAAACAGGAUUAGAAACCCGGGUAGUCC
rnacentral:rRNA from 1 species